rnacentral:rRNA from 1 species
GACGAACGCUGGCGGCGUGCUUAACACAUGCAAGUCGAACGGAAAGGCCCUGCUUUUGUGGGGUGCUCGAGUGGCGAGCGGGUGAGUAACACGUGAGUAACCUGCCCUUGACUUUGGGAUAACUUCAGGAAACUGGGGCUAAUACCGGAUCGGAGCUCCUGCUGCAUGGUGGGGGUUGGAAAGUUUCGGCGGUUGGGUAUGGACUCGCGGCUUAUCAGCUUGUUGGUGGGGUAGUGGCUUACCAAGGCUUUGACGGGUAGCCGGCCUGAGAGGGUGACCGGCCACAUUGGGACUGAGAUGCGGCACAGACUCCUACGGGAGGCAGCAGUGCAGAAUAGAGUACAAUGGGCGGAAGCCUGAUGCAGCAAAGCCGCGUGCGGGAUGACGGCCUGCGGGUUGUAAACCGCUUUCGCCUGGGACGAAGCGUGAGUGACGGUAAUGGGUAAAGAAGCACCGGCUAACUACGUG